rnacentral:rRNA from 1 species
CCUACGGGAGGCAGCAGUGAGGAAUAUUGGUCAAUGGGAGAGAUCCUGAACCAGCCAAGCCGCGUGAGGGAAGACGGCCCUAUGGGUUGUAAACCUCUUUUGUCGGAGAACAAAACCCGGGACGUGUCCCGGACUGCGUGUAUCCGAAGAAAAAGCAUCGGCUAACUCCGUGCCAGCAGCCGCGGUAAUACGUAGGGGGCAAGCGUUAUCCGGAUUUACUGGGUGUAAAGGGAGCGUAGACGGUUAUGCAAGUCUGAAGUGAAAGCCCAAGGCUCAACCAUGGGACUGCUUUGGAAACUGUAGAACUGGAGUGCAGGAGAGGUAAGCGGAAUGCCUAGUGUAGCGGUGAAAUGCGUAGAUAUUAGGAGGAACACCAGUGGCGAAGGCGGCUUACUGGACUGUAACUGACGUUGAGGCUCGAAGGCGUGGGGAGCAAACAGGAUUAGAUACCCCUGUAGUC